UAAAUCAACAAUGUCUGCAGCUGAAGGACAUGGCAAUUAAAGUGUCUAGUUCUUCAAAAGGAAAACCCCCCAGUGGGCCAAGCAGCAUCAAGAAAGGAGGCAACCCAUAUAUGCAACCCGGGGGUUCAAGUUCGAUCCCUGCUUGGGACGACGACGCAGGUUAUGAACCACGUCGUCAGUCGGGUCAUCUGGUAUUGGAUGAAGAUGAUGACCCUGUAGAGUGGAUGGCUCAGGUCGAGCGCGGUGUUCAAAUUACAUUUGUGUCCUUACCUAGUGGCGGAAAUGACCUCAAGCGCAUACGGUUCAACCGAGAGAUGUUCGAUAAAUGGCAAGCCCAGCGGUGGUGGGGAGAGAACUAUGACCGAAUCAUGGAGCUCUAUAAUGUUCAGAGGUUCACCUGUCAAGCUCUUGACACGCCCUCUAGGUCCGAAGACGGGAGGGACUCGUCGUAUUCAAGGCUUGGAUCAGUAAAGGACAGCCCGAUGAUGAACCCGUUAAGAAACUACUAUAAACCUCCAGAGCAAGGUGGCACCUACCAUUACAAUGUGGGCGGUCCUAAAGGGGAACGAUCAUCCAUGGAGGCAUCAAGGACGACGACAUCCUCUAGAGACGAGGCAUCAAUUUCAGUUAGUAACGCUAGUGAUAUUGAUUCGGAGUGGAUAGAGGAAGAUGAGCCCGGUGUUUAUAUAUCCAUCAGACAGUUACUAGAUGGGACCCGCGAGCUACGUCGUGUCAGAUUCAGACAACAUUUCACGCUUGUUGCUUUCGUAUAUGCAGUCGUGAAAAGUUCGGGGAGGUGCAUGCAAAGCUAUGGUGGGAACAAAACCGAGAAAGAAUACAAUCACAGUAUCUUUGACAGCAUACCGCACUUUCUAACAGAUGAAGAUCGGUGUCAUAUAAACGAAGACACAAACUUGUGUAUCUUCUGUUAUUUGUAGUCAUGUAUUUAGACAUUUUGGACCAAAAUAUAUUAGACCUGUGUUUUUUUUAUAUUUGUAUCAAAAACAGCAGCCGAUAAAUAAUGUUUUGACACCGUCUCAGGCCCCUCACCAGUCGUCAGGCUCUACCGUUCCACCACCAGUUGACCUGACCCUCUCAUAGAUCAGGAUUAAUCUCUCUUGGGUACACAAACUAUUGAUGCAUAUCCAAACCGGUUCAAUUCUAGAUCUAUUUCAAAGACAUCUACUGUUUAUUAUCAAACCUGGUUCUUAAGGCUGAGGGGUUGGUCCUCCGUCCUCCCCUGCAUUUGAGAGUUUCAAAAUUAAAGCCGUUGAAUAACGGCUAGUUAAGAAAAGACAUUUUUUUAGAUUUUAAAACCUAUAUGUACCCACGUUUAUACAAAAAAAACUCACAACGCUCUCCACCUUUAUACAGUCCUCUUCUUCAAAUCACAAAAUAUCAUCUUCAAUUUUUUAUACAAUCUUGUUAAAAUUUUGGUAGUAGCCAGGAGUUCAUCAUCUUGAGGAAAACGCUGUAAACUAUUACGUUGACGCGAUGAUACGUAAAUCAUUUUGGAGAUGGAAGAAGACGAAGGAACUUCUGAACCAAGAACAAGGAGCGUUGGGCUAAAUAGAGAUCGCGAAGGUGCGCAUGGUCGUUAGUGGCUGACUAUUUUGAUGAAACUGUGUGUACGCCAACGAACGAUUUAGGCGUCGGUUUCGAAUAAGUUGCCGAUUGUUCCUACUUAUUGCCAACGAUUUGGCUAAUUAUGACAAGUUUUUCACAUUACGAUACGAUACUAGAGGGAAAAGGGGUUUUACUAUGUUACAAAAAUGCACAUAUGCACUUCGUCAAAUGGCGUAGGACACUUCUAUUGAUUCAUGGCAUUAAUAUUUAAGGAUGUCUGCCAGAAUGGGUUGGUAGUGUUCGUAUGAAUUUUCCAAAGGUAUCGUGGAGCUAUAUAGCAAGGUGUAUUUGUGUAGACCAACGAAGGACAUCGAAAGGUUUUAUACAUUCGAUGAAGAGAGAGAGAUGGAUUUCCUGGCAUGCUAGGAAGUAUCGAUUGUACGCAUUGGCCAUGGCGUAAUUGCCCUAAUGCAUGGGGAUGUCAAUAUACAUGUGGUGAUCGAGGACACCACUCAAUCAUGCCACAAGAUCUAUGGGUUUGGUAUGCCUUUUAUUGAGUUGCAGGUUCAAACAACGAUCUAAACGUUAUGGCAAGAUCUGAGAUUUUCGACGACAUGACUAGAGGUACCGGUCCUGAUUCUUCGUUCAUGCUCAAUGGGGUGUCAUACAAGCACGGGUAUUAUCUAGCCAACGGUAACUAUUGUUAAAUUAUACCAAAUCCCCUUGAUGGAAAAAAAUAAAAAUACACGAAGUGUCAAGAAGCGGCAAGUCACAAUAGCAUAUAAUACGAAACCCAGCACGUGCAUAGAUACCAAAAAGAUUUGAGAUGCAUUAUGUAUACUUGUACAAUAUUACAUAACAUGAUUAUCGUCGAAGAAGAAGACCGAACGAUAUGCAAACACAAUCCAAAUGACAUUGAUGAGAACGUUGAGCUGGUUGACGAAGGGUAACAAUAAUCAAAUACGUGGGCGUUAAACAAUGAACAUGUUCAUGUGAGCCUUUGUGCCGAUUUAAUCGACCAUAUUUAAAAUAACUUCACGUCGAUCCAAAUGAUGUUCCUGAUCCUGUUGAUGACGAGUAGUGGCGCGCGAAAGUUUAGGCAAAAUUUAUUUUAUGUUUUUAGUAUGUAUUUUUAGAUUAAACUGUUUUUUUUUUUUUUAAUUUGUA